UACGAUGGAGGUGCAAGCGUUGCUCGGAAUCACUGGGCGUAAAGGGUGCGUAGGCGGGUCUUUAAGUCAGGGGUGAAAUCCUGGAGCUCAACUCCAGAACUGCCUUUGAUACUGAAGAUCUUGAGUUCGGGAGAGGUGAGUGGAACUGCGAGUGUAGAGGUGAAAUUCGUAGAUAUUGGGAAGAACACCGGUGGCGAAGGCGGCUCACUGGCCCGUUUCUGACGCUGUAGCGCGAAAGCGUGGGGAUCAAACAGG
rnacentral:rRNA from 1 species